UAAGCAAUUAUACAGCGAAACUGCGAAUGGCUCAUUAUAUAAGUUAUCGUUUAUUUGAUAGUACCUUACUACUUGGAUAACCGUGGUAAUUCUAGAGCUAAUACAUGCUAAAAAUCCCGACUUCGGAAGGGAUGUAUUUAUUAGAUUAAAAACCAAUGCCCUCUGGGCUCUCUGGUGAUUCAUGAUAACUUCUCGAAUCGCAUGGCCUUGCGCCGGCGAUGGUUCAUUCAAAUUUCUUCCCUAUCAACUUUCGAUGUUUGGGUAGUGGCCAAACAUGGUUGCAACGGGUAACGGAGGGUUAGGGCUCGACCCCGGAGAAGGAGCCUGAGAAACGGCUACUACAUCCAAGGAAGGCAGCAGGCGCGCAAAUUACCCAAUCCCGACACGGGGAGGUAGUGACAAUAAAUACUGAUACAGGGCUCUUUUGGGUCUUGUAAUUGGAAUGAGUACAAUUUAAAUCCCUUAACGAGGAACAAUUGGAGGGCAAGUCUGGUGCCAGCAGCCGCGGUAAUUCCAGCUCCAAUAGCGUAUAUUAAAGUUGUUGUGGUUAAAAAGCUCGUAGUUGAACCUUGGGCCUGGCUGGCCGGUCCGCCUCACCGCGUGUACUGGUCCGGCCGGGCCUUUCCCUCUGUGGAACCCCAUGCCCUUCACUGGGUGUGGCGGGGAAACAGGACUUUUACUUUGAAAAAAUUAGAGUGCUCCAGGCAGGCCUAUGCUCGAAUACAUUAGCAUGGAAUAAUGAAAUAGGACGUGCGGUUCUAUUUUGUUGGUUUCUAGGACCGCCGUAAUGAUUAAUAGGGACAGUCGGGGGCAUCAGUAUUCAAUUGUCAGAGGUGAAAUUCUUGGAUUUAUUGAAGACUAACUACUGCGAAAGCAUUUGCCAAGGAUGUUUUCAUUAAUCAGGAACGAAAGUUAGGGGAUCGAAGACGAUCAGAUACCGUCGUAGUCUUAACCAUAAACUAUGCCGACUAGGGAUCGGACGAUGUUAUUUUUUGACUCGUUCGGCACCUUACGAGAAAUCAAAGUG
rnacentral:rRNA from 1 species